rnacentral:rRNA from 1 species
AGAGUUUGAUCCUGGCUCAGGAUGAACGCUAGCGGCAGGCUUAACACAUGCAAGUCGAGGGGCAGCAUGUCCAGCAAUGGAUGAUGGCGACCGGCGGAAGGGUGCGUAACGCGUGAGCAACAUGCCCUAUACAGGGAGAUACACCAGGGAAACUUGGUCUAAUAUCCCAUAGCAUUCAUUGAAGGCAUCUUUAAUGAAUUAAAGCUUCGGUGGUAUAGGAUUGGCUCGCGUGACAUUAGCCAGAUGGUGAGGUAACGGCUCACCAUAGCAAUGAUGUCUAGGGGUUUUGAGAGGAAGGCCCCCCACACUGGGACUGAGACACGGCCCAGACUCCUACGGGAGGCAGCAGUGAGGAAUAUUGGACAAUGGAUGGAAAUCUGAUCCAGCCAUGCCGCGUGCAGGAAGACGGCCUUAUGGGUUGUAAACUGCUUUUAUACGGGAGCAAUAAGGGUUACGAGUAAUCCGAUGAGAGUACUGUAUGAAUAAGGAUCGGCUAACUCCGUGCCAGCAGCCGCGGUAAUACGGAGGAUCCGAGCGUUAUCCGGAAUUAUUGGGUUUAAAGGAUGCGUAGGUGGAUGUUUAAGUGGGAUGUGAAAUCCCUGGGCUCAACCCAGGAAUUGCAUUCCAAACUGGAUAUCUUGAGUAUAGUAGAGGAAAGCAGAAUUCCUAGUGUAGAGGUGAAAUUCGUAGAUAUUAGGAGGAAUACCAGUGGCGAAGGCGGCUUUCUGGACUAUAACUGACACUGAGGCAUGAAAGCGUGGGUAGCAAACAGGAUUAGAUACCCUGGUAGUCCACGCCGUAAACGAUGGGUACUAGGUGUAGGAGGUAUCGACCCCUUCUGUGCCGUCGUUAACACAAUAAGUACCCCGCCUGGGGAGUACGGUCGCAAGACUAAAACUCAAAGGAAUUGACGGGGGCCCGCACAAGCAGCGGAGCAUGUGGUUUAAUUCGAAGCAACGCGAAGAACCUUACCUAGACUUGACAUCUCCUGAAUUACCCGUAACUGGGGAAGCUCUUCGGAGCAGGAAGACAGGUGGUGCAUGGUUGUCGUCAGCUCGUGUCGUGAGAUGUUGGGUUAAGUCCCGUAACGAGCGCAACCCUUAUUUUUAGUUGCUACCAUUAAGUUGAGCACUCUAAAGAGACUGCCCGGGUUAACCGGGAGGAAGGUGGGGAUGACGUCAAAUCAUCAUGCCCCUUAUGUCUAGGGCAACACACGUGCUACAAUGGUGAGAACAAAGAGACGCAAAAUCGCAAGGUCAAGCAAAUCUCAUAAAACUCAUCCCAGUUCGGAUUGCAGGCUGAAACUCGCCUGCAUGAAGUCGGAGUUGCUAGUAAUCGCGAAUCAGAAUGUCGCGGUGAAUACGUUCCCGGGCCUUGUACACACCGCCC